CCGUCCAACUCCGGUUCUCAAAUCCCCCUCCGACGUCGAGCCCUAACUCUUCCCUGAGGUUUCAAACUCCGACCUUCAUCUCAAAUCCGACCGCGGAACCCAGAUCGAGCUCUAACUUUCAAUUACCAGGUCACCGCUGCUCCGCGUCCCCGUCUGAAAUCGCCGCCGACUACUGCUGCUUCGCCUGGAGUCGUCGCCGACUGGAGUUGCUGCUGCUCGUCCGGUGGUCAGCGGACGUCGUCUGGGAGCGCCGCCGCCGGUCUUCCACGGCUACCGCGUCGCCGUCCCCUUCACCUCUCGAUCCGACCUCAGCCGAGGCGGGUGCCGCCGCCGCUGCUGUCCAGAAUCGGCGAGGGUACUUCGCCGCUGCUUCUCCGGCGUUCGGCUCUUCCUUCUCUGUCCGUUGAGCUCCGUCAGGCAGCAGGAGAUGCCGCUGAAAUCUGUCAUCUGCUCAAGAACCAGCUCAAGCCUCUCUCUCUCUCUUGGUUCAGGCGAUGUCGCUUCUGCUCAGCUGACGACCUCCAUCUCCUCUUCAUCGGUCAGCGUUGACGUCAUCUGGUAUCCCUCCCCGAUUUAAUGAAAUCAGGUUGAAAUGGAGGCUCCCCUGCUCUUUGGGAGAUUCUUGGUGAAAAGUGAUAGUGAGUCUUGCGUUGCUUGGCUGAAGUUGAGACUAAGAUAAGGAAGAGUUGUUGCUGCACUAGUAUGGUGGGGGAGUUGGUGGUUGUGGAGUUGGUGGGGAGAAAAGGAUGGUGGGAAGUGUGGUGGAGUGGAUGGUGGAAGAGUAGGUGUAGUGGUGGGAAAAAAUGUAGUGGAGGAUUAAUGAUGUAUAUUCUAUGUCUCGGUGAUUCUGUAAUUGUAAUAAAAUACUGGCUUAUGUUCAUUAUUCGUGUAUAAAUUAAAUACGUAGAUUUAAUUCA